CUAAGUAUGAAGUCUUGCCAUGUUUGUGUUUCCUUUCCAAAAAGCACUGAAUGGAUCCCCAGUGUCUAACUGUGUAAAACAGCUGAGACGUCACUGCUUUCCAAUCUCUUGAAGGACAAGUGCUCAUCUUGGCUCACCUUGGAACCCACUUCAGAACCCAGGGGAAGUGGCUACCUGCAAGAUGAGGAGACAGGAGAAGCAGCAGAAGAAAGGAACCAGAUUUCCUGCUUUCUUCUAUAGUGAAGAGAAUUGAACCCAGAGUAUCACUUGCAUAAGGAAACAAGACUGUUGGCUGCUCAUGCUUUCAUUGCAUUGAUUAGCUACUUCCUCAAUAUGGAGCCACCCUUGACAAAUGCAGCCAGAAUUUGGCAAAAACAACAAAAAAAGGAUAACUGCUCAACAGAAACA
rnacentral:lncRNA from 1 species